GACCGUUUAGCUCAGUGGUAGAGCGCUUCGUUCACAUCGAAGAUGUCGGGGGUUCAAAUCCCUCAACGGUCA
rnacentral:tRNA from 1 species